UGCACCAACCACGCCACCUUACCGAACAACAAUUGCUCCUUUAAGCAAGCUUCCUCUGCAAUUCACUAUUUAUGUGGACUCACACUAUGCCCCUUCAUGCCUUGAUGGGGAUUACUUUCCUGUUUUCUUGGCACCGACUCCAAGAAAUGGAGUGAACCUUCCUGCAUUUGUCAACCAGACCCUCGAAAUCAACGUCAGAUCCAAAGCACAAUACACCACGAUUUAUGACCUGAUUAUCACUGGACCAAAGGGCAUCUCAAAGCACCGAAUCACUGCAGAAGAAUACAUCAUAAAAUGGACACCAACUGAAAAUGAAGUGAACGAUCAUUUUC